UCUAGGCUUCACUAUCAGCCGAUCUUCUAUAGUGAUCAACUAUUCUCCGAAUCCCUUCCAGACUUCUUCUGGCCACGGACGACCCUACUCCGAACUUCUUCUGGACUUCGUCAAUAUUCGAGCUUCUCCGAUAAUGAGAUUUCUACAGUAACCAGACUCCAUCUAAGUUUCUACGAUGGUCGACCGCCUUCGGGAUUCCAUCUGAGCUUCUGCGAGAGCUAAACUUCUACAGCAAGC
rnacentral:lncRNA from 1 species